rnacentral:rRNA from 1 species
UACGUAGGGGGCAAGCGUUGUCCGGAUUUAUUGGGCGUAAAGAGCGUGUAGGCGGCCAAGCAGGUCUGCUGUGAAAACCCGAGGCUCAACCUCGAGACGUCGGUGGAAACCGUUUGGCUAGAGUCCGGAAGAGGAGAGUGGAAUUCCCGGUGUAGCGGUGAAAUGCGCAGAUAUCGGGAAGAACACCCGUGGCGAAGGCGGCUCUCUGGGACGGUACUGACGCUGAGACGCGAAAGCGUGGGGAGCGAACAGG